ensembl:ncRNA
CCUGGAAUUAAGUUGACUGUGUAGCC